GUGAUCAUGGCAUAAGAGACCCCAAGACUGGCAAAAGAGGAAUAGCUUCUCUUCUUGGUUGCUUCCUAUCCAUGCUGGUGAUAAUAGUUUCAUGAAUAGCAAAACCUCAAUGGGCUCUCAUAAAUCUUCUCUUGGUCUAGGUCGUUAUUUCUCCUUCUCAGAGUUGCAGGAGGCCACCAAGAACUUUGAUCAAACUGCAAUAAUUGGAGUUGGUGGGUUUGGCAAUGUCUAUCUUGGUGUGAUUGAUGAAGGUACACAAGUUGCCGUCAAGAGAGGUAAUCCACAAUCUGAACAAGGAAUUACAGAGUUCCAGACAGAAAUUCAGAUGCUAUCUAAGCUCAGACAUAGGCAUUUGGUGUCAUUAAUUGGGUAUUGUGAUGAGAACGAUGAAAUGAUCCUAGUUUAUGAGUACAUGUCUAAUGGGCCUUU
rnacentral:misc_RNA from 1 species